rnacentral:rRNA from 1 species
UACGUAGGUGGCAAGCGUUGUCCGGAUUUACUGGGCGUAAAGAGCGCGCAGGCGGUCGAUCAAGUCGGGGGUGAAAGCCCCCGGCUCAACUGGGGAGGGUCACGCGAUACUGAUCGACUCGAAGGCAGGAGAGGGUAGUGGAAUUCCCGGUGUAGUGGUGAAAUGCGUAGAUAUCGGGAGGAACACCAGUGGCGAAGGCGACUACCUGGCCUGUUCUUGACGCUGAGGCGCGAAAGCUAGGGGAGCAAACGGG